UACGAAGGGGGCUAGCGUUGCUCGGAUUGACUGGGCGUAAAGGGCGCGUAGGCGGUUCGUACAGUCAGACGUGAAAUCCCUCGGCUUAACCGGGGAACUGCGUCUGAUACUGGAUGGCUUGAGUUCGGGAGAGGGAUGCGGAAUUCCAGGUGUAGCGGUGAAAUGCGUAGAUAUCUGGAGGAACACCGGUGGCGAAGGCGGCGUCCUGGACCAACACUGACACUGAUGAGCGAAAGCCAGGGGAGCAAACGGG
rnacentral:rRNA from 1 species